rnacentral:lncRNA from 1 species
AUUGUGCCCAUCCACAACUAAAUAUAUACAUAUAAAGGAUUUCAGGCUGGGGAUAUAGUUCAGUUGGUAGAGUGUUUGCCUUGCAAGCACAAGGCUCUGAGUUUAAUCCCCAGUGUGUGUGUACACACAUACAUACCCACAAAAGGUGAAUUUAUGAUUUGUAAAUGAUACCUCUAUAAACCAUUAAUUUUUAAAAAGUAUAAUACUGUCUGAACCUCAGUUUAGAGGCACCGAUCUCCUGAUCAGAAAUGGCCUAAAUUUAAUUGCUUUGCUGCUUUGUCCUGGAUGACCAAAUUCAACUGUAUUCUUGGGUCCAAAAGGAAAGCUAAACUAAAUUCCAAAGACAAAUAUUCUAAGGAAUGAAGACUAGGUGUUACAGUUUGGAUAUGUUAUGUCUCAUGACAGCUCAUUUGUGAGACAAUGCAGGAAUGUUCAAAGUGAUAUUAUUAGAUUAUAAGAGCAUUGAACCUUUGGCCUCACACUUGCUUGACAAGUGCUCUACCACUGAGCUAGACUCUCAGUCCACUACUAAAUUUAUUUAAGUUAUUUUUAGUAUAUUUACAGAGUUGUGUACCUUCUGGUCUAUAAAAUUUAGUUUUCUGAGCCUUUCACACAAACAAAAUUAAGAUUAAGGUCAUGAUUCUUAUUCUGGUUCUUUUCCCUUAGCAUAAUGUCUUUGAAGCUCAUGAAUGCUGCAGCAUGUAUCAAUACUUCCUCCUAAUUGAUAAAUAAUAUUCCAUGAUAUGGAUAUACCACAUUUUGUUCAUUCAUUUGCUGAAACAUUGAUUUAUAAUACCAGGUCAUGCUCAUAAAAUUCAUGCUGAAGAACCUUUCAUAUCCAGAGUAUAUGGGACAGAUUCAUGUCUGCACUUUGUUGACAGGCUAUCCUGGGAAUUCUUAGAUAAAUAUGAAUGAGGGGUUGGGGA